rnacentral:tRNA from 1 species
AUAGCUUAGUUGGUAGAGCUGUUGCUUAGCAUGCAAGAGGCCCUAGGCUCCAUUCCUAGU